UCCAGCAUACUUCCGCUGAUCUAUAUCCAAAUUUCCCAAAAAUAAUCCUUCUACCUAUUUUCCGUUCACGUUUCCUGUUCGGAGCUCACGGUUAAAAAUCGUUUUCUCUUUUAUUUAUUCGUGUGCCUGUUUGUGUGUGCCGUAGAUCGCGGAUUGCCCGAGGAAGAGCCCGAGGAGGAGUUUGAUCGCGAGCCCGAGCCUGAGGACCAGUACCGCGAGCCGGAACUCCCGGAAGGC
rnacentral:lncRNA from 1 species